GUACGUCAGCUCAGGGCUCAGCUACACUCAGUUGUUACUCAGGUGGACAGUUAAAGUGUUUCAUGCGUACCACCAAGCAAAUCUAAGAAAUUAGGAGGUCCUUAUCUCUGUAUUUAAACACAUUUUUUAGCAUGGUAACUCACAAAGACCAGUUAUACUCACUAUAUAAAUAUUAGUUAACUGCUCACUGUAAAAAACCUACAUACUUUCCCUAAACAGUUACUCCUCUCUGAUACUGUAUAUACUCAAGGGAAACAUGCAGCAACCAAAGACAUAAAUGAACAAAUUACUGAGUUCACCCUUUUUCGCCAUCUUCCUAAUUUCUUUUAUUUCAUUACAGAUUAUGGAUGAAAUCCGUCCGCUGAUGUCUAACCUGUAAUGAAAGCCAACGUUUCGACCUUUCAAUAGAGAGCUGAUUUUGGAGAACGGCUUAGUCCUGUGAUUGAAAAACUCUUUCUGGAAGGUUGAUGGAGCAUGAGCAUGGUCUGGUCAGCAACUCCAGUGCAAUUUGAAAAUAUGUAAUCUGCUGGCAGUGAUGUACCCAACCUUAAUCAGAGCUGGAGCCUUUGGAAGAGAGAUUGUGUCAUCGCACGAUGUAUAGUCCCACAGUGACUGACCUUGAUGAAACUGUGACAGAAGAAAACAGGUUUUGCUUUGUUUUGCUUUUCUACUUUAUAACUUGCAAAAUGCAACAAACAACAAAAAAAGGAAGACAGCUGAACUCUUCUGUGGUUAGCUUCCCUGGGUCUUAGAGGAGGCUUUUGUUUUAGUGUGGGGGCAGCAGUAAGGAAUUAGCUGAUAAUCAGGAUAGAAGAGAUCCUAACCAUACAUAUGAACUCUUGAUUUUUGAGAAUGUGAAUUUUGACACAAAAUCUGCCUGAAUAUUCAAAUGAUUAAACCAAGCAUACAUGUAAGCUUUUAAGGAGCUGAAUUCCUAGUCUUCUGAAAGUACAACACUA